GCAACUUGACAGCAUCUGUGAUGACAUCAAACAGAUCCGGAUAAUCGGACCACGGCGCAGACCCGCGUAACUUACGGCCUCGAUUAGAUUUCUACUCUGGGCCGAAAACAGCGGUCCGAUGGUCGUUUAGUGACGGCCCAAGAUGCUCGUUUUUGCCAUUUCCACCCGGAGAAAAAAAAAAUCAACUGCUCCUACCUAUCCUAUCCCGGGGGCGACGCGUUGCGGCCCGCCGCCGCCGCACUGCGCCUAUGAGAGAUCUCGGGAUGCCGGAGUCCUUUGUCUCCCCCACCCUGACCGUCUUCUUCUCUGACUGACGCCGACACCGACCGACCGGCUCCACUCCCUGGCGGCGGCGACAAACGGCGCCAGUGGGCACGAAGACACUGCCGCGUUGAGUUGGUGCGUGCGCCCCGGCGACAGACAUGGUCCUCGCCGGCCGCCGCCUCCUAAAAUCGAUUGGAGAUCAGGUGGUGGUGGUGAUGGUGGGAAUUUGUCGGCCAGAUUAUGCUCUUGACGGCAAGUCUAGAGGUGCUGUACCUUCUCCUUUGGUCUUUAAUUUUCCGUUCUUGCUUUGAUUAUUGGAGGCGCUGACAUGGAGCCGGACCGGCAGCUAGGCGUGUACUGUUGACCUGAGGAGAACGGCCGUGGAUUGUGUGCCGCAUCGACGCAAUCUCGUCGCCGGUCAGGUCAGAGACAGGAGUACAGGACAGGAAGACACAGGAGCUGUUCGUUGGAAGGUGCUAAUCCAAACAGUAAACUACAGGGGAAAACAGGAGUACAAAGGUAAUCGUUGUGCACGAUGAGUAAUUUAAUCAGGCUGUAUGUGUAUUUUUCCCAAGUUGCCAAGCGGGGUUCGAGAUAACUUACUGGCUGGGACGUGAUAAUGGCCUGAAUUGGUUACGGGCCAAAAGGAGUUUACAGAAGUAAGGAACAAGGAAGUGAAGGAUUUGCUAGUGGUGGGGUAGAAGGCGUGGGAUGCUACUAUUGUCCAUGAGUUCUUCUGGCCACAUGAUGUAGCGGGAAUACUUGAACUUAAACUCCCAGUGGCAAUAAGAUAAGCAUGGAUUGUUCACUGUUAGGAGUGGCUACUUGCUCGAUGUUUGGGACCGUUUCAAUCUUCAGAAUCGGGCGUCGAGUAGCGAUUUCAGCAACGGAUCUCGGAUGGCGUAGGAUGAUAUAUAUGGAAAUUGUAAGGUCCACUGAAGGUUUUGAUAUUUGGGUGGAGGCGUGCCAGGAUGAAUAUGCCGAUGGCGCUGGAAAGGGGACCGAUUCGAACUUAUUGCUAGACUGUGAUCAACGGCACAUGACAGAUCGUGUUUCGGCCAUCUUUUCCAAGACCUGAAGGACUGUUUGGCUAACGUGGUGGAACUUCUUCGUUUUCCACCUGUAAAGACGAAGUGUAAUAGGAUUGCUCGCGAACUGGCUCAAUUAUAGCAAAUAGUGGUGUAGGGACCGCUAUUUUGUGUCCAAAGUCAUCACUGUGCAUUGGCUAGCUUGAACAAAGUACAGUUAAGCAUGCUACAAACAACAUCUUACCAUCAUAAUUAAUGGUGAUACAGCAUCUGAUUGUACUUAGGUAUAUAUGUGUGGUACUUACAGGCUUACAGCAUAGAGCAUGCAUCUGAAUGGUACCAGUACACUACAAGUGUAGCUAGAUGGACAGAAUUACUUUCAAGAUACCCGCAAUAGCACCAAGGAUAGAUAUCACAACGGCAACGGUUUUCCCAUGUUUGUACCAGAAUUUGUACACCCUAAUCCAUAUCCACCUGUUGAGCUUGUAAGCCUUGUAGACCUCGAUAUCUGCCAUGAUGCAGGAGAAUUUGUAGCCAUUAUCCGGAAGGUGCUUGGCUAGGCUCUUGAAGAAAUCAAGCAUCUCCUUGUUGGUGUGGUUUCCGUGCACGAGGUGUUUGGACCGUAGCCUGAGCACAUCCUCAUCCCGGUCCAUGAGCAUGGCGAGGAGGGCGAUGUAGGAGCAGACCGCGGUCUUCUGAACAUCCUCCUUAAACCUUGAGACCGUGCAUACCUCAAAAGCUGCCAUGUUGACGAGCCAGCACGCCUUUGUACUGUCCAGGGACAGUGGCACAAAGAAGAGAUUUCCCAAGAAGAGCUUUCCUGAAAAGAGAUUUUCCAGGAAGGCUCCUUUCUUCAUCCCAAUGUCCAUGAAAUCUGCUGUCUUGCUCGGUUUCAGCCUCACACCGAUUUCUGCUAGCUCGAUGGCAUUGGAUACAGAGAUUUGCUUGAGCAAUCCAUGAGCUGCUUCGGUUUUGUUUUCUGGUCCAUAAUCAGGUACAUGAGGUUUGGGUGCCUUUCUUCGUCCUAGCUUGUAAAAUCGGAGGAGCCCAAGGAGAUGCGGUGGAGUGUAUAUUUCAGGAUCCAAGACAAACGAUUCGGGCUUGAGAUCCUGUCUGAUCUGGAACUUGUUCCCCAUCUCCGCAAUGAAGUCCUCAAUCUUCACGGGGCUGAACUUCCUGAGGGCGUCAAGCACCAUCCAUGGGAGCUGGUUCUCCAGCAGCAUCACGUCGUUGUCGAUGCAGGCCCGAUUGGAGAAAAAGAAGCGUCGCAACGAUGGGUUCACGUCAAAAUAUUCUCUGCAGCCCAAAGAGCUAGACAUACAAAGCAUGUACUGCAGCAAGAAGCAAGCAUCACGGAACAUCAUAUCAACAAAGUCAGCAUCCUCGAUACCUGCCACCACGUCACUGGUGUAGGUGCUGCGGGCGUUGACUGCGACAGGGAAGAACUCAUCGUAGAUCUUGUGAUAGUCAUAUGUGGAUAUCGUGCUCGCGGCAUCAAUGAAGUAAUGGGCAGCAGCGUGCUUCACCUUGGCCAUCUCCUGGAGGCGGGGCGAGCCGCGAUGGUAAGGACCGAUAGCCACCACCAUUGGGACUAUGUAUUGGCCACCCAGACCUCGUAGGCCUGGAGGGAACCUAUGGAUCUUCGUUUCCAUCUCGUUGAAAUGGAAAUCAGCCUCAAAGACUUGGGCUGCUUCCCAUAGCAACUCCUCAACCUUAAUACCCACGGCUUCGGCAGAAUUGAGCUCCACGGAUCUGCUGUAGUAGAAAUUGGCCGCUGCAUCGAUCUCUGCUGGGCUCAUGGCUAGCCUUCAGCAGCAAAUAAGACCUGCAGCUGUCAACUACGAGGUAUGUAGAUCCGCUCAAUGGAUCGAUCUCUGCUGUCUACUAUCUAGCUAAAUAGAUGGUUGUUGGUUCUGGGUGUAACUACGGCCUGCUGCUGGUUGACUGGUUAAUUUUUAUACAGACGAGGCCUCCGCUACCAGCUCCGACGCGCCUAUAGGUUAGUUUUAAUCUGGGUGCAUGAACAUGCAUGCAUGAAGCCCGAGCAUGCUGACAGUUAAAAAACAAGCCCGAGCAUUCUCCUUUUUAGUUUAUCCUUGGUAAGUACUAUGGCCCUUCUCGUAGUACCAAUGAAAUAUUUUCUGAAAGAAAAUUGGGAGUCCAUGGUGAUGUAGUUUUGAAGGAGCUUUGAGCUUCCACAACCAUCUACUACUCAUCACAGGCACAUCGCUAUGUACAAGAGCCUAGUACAAUGAUUUAACCGAGAACAAUCCAUUUUGGUACAAAUUCCUGCGAAACAUGUCUAGGUCCUGUGAUAAAUUGAUGUUUGUGAGAGGUAGGAGAAAAUCGUUCCAUGCCACAACUUAGGGACCAACAAAAUAUUUUCUAAAAGAAAAAUUGGGAGUCCAUGAUGAUUGAUGAUGGUGGUAGUAAUUGGCUCCGCCUCUCUCAUUCUUAGGUUAAGUAGUCCUCUUUGAUGCGAAAAUUGCUUACAAUUUUCCCAUGGCUUUCAAUUUGUAGGAAGUUGUAAAUGCCCUAGGCCCCUUGGUGUAUCAAGAAUUCAGAUCUAGAUAGUUUGUGAAAAUUCUGUGUAAACACCAGUGAAAUACUUGUGAAAGCUGAGAAACACUUCUUGGUGUGGUGGUGAAGUUGUGGGUGCAUGACUCCACCCAACAGGCUUACAAUCCUUUUAUAUAAAAAAAGAAAUACUUGUGAAAGCUCCAUGGAAUGCAGCGAUACAUGAUCCAAAUUGUUUAAGUUUUUGUGAAACAUUUAUGGAAUCAAAACAAUUAUUAUAAAUUUAACGUAGCAUUUUUUUAGGACAAAUAGGUUUUCCAGGAAUUCAUUGAAACUUGUGUGAAUCCAAAGAUUCUAUGAAACUGAUCUAAAACUGCUCCAUUUUGUGAAGUUAUCUGAAAUGUGUAUGAAAUAGUUCUGAACCUGAAAUGGUUUCACGAAAUUUCAUUGGAAAAACUGAAAUGAUUUUGUCAAAUUUUAUGAAACUAGAUAGUUUGAGAUUGAAUGGUUGUCAAAAUUUAUUAAUAUUCUGAAUCCAAAUUGAUUUCGUGUAUAUUGAUCGAAACUUUUGUAAAAUAAACCUGAAUUGAUUUUGUGGUAGGUCAUAAAUAAUAUUUGUGAAAUCAGGUUCAACAUGAAUUAAAUGUGUGAAAUAAUUAUAGAUCCAAACUAAUUUUUAGAAAUUCAAUGAAACGGUGUAAAGCUGAUUGGUUUGUGGAAUUCAUUGAAAACUUCUAUGAAACCAUCUAAAUUUGUAACAUUUCUAAAAAGCGAAGAUGUGUGGGAUGUGGGGCGACAAGUCUCUCUGCCGGGUGGAGCUUCAAGGAAAAUCUCUUACCAUCUAUUUUUUUUGCAUCAAAUGAUUGUCAUAAUUUGUUUACAUUUACAACAAUGCAAUUUAUCAAAAUCAACCCAGAGUCCAUGGUUGGUGAUGGAAUUUUACAUUUAUAACCUUAUACUGUCAUAAUCAAACACAAAGUCCAAUGGUUUCUAAAAGAGUAAAAUACACUCACGGUCACUGAAUUUGUUUUAAAGAUUCUCAAUUUAGUCCCUGUAUUUUGGAAUCCGAGACAUACGGUCACUAAACUCGACGAAAUGUCUCACGUACGGUCACCAGGACCUUGGACGUGGAGAGGAGGGAUUUCUAGAUCCCUCUGCACGCGUGCAUGUGCCAAAUUUCUAGGGAUCACUCUGCAUGCGUACGCACGGCCAUGAGGAUAGACGGAGGCACACGGAGAUAAAAUGAAGGGCCUCGGCGGGCUCCUCUAACUAUGACAAGCAAUGUCAAAACUCAGGAGGUGACUUUUCUUCAGCAAAUGGAUCAAUUGAUCGGCUCCUCUCACUGCUUUCUCAUCUUCAAACUCAAACAAAGGAAAGAAAAAGCGACACAAUUUCGUUCAGCAGGGCAUUGGAGUUUGCAUUGCCUCUUCGAAAUGCAGUCAUAGAUCACUGUAACUCGUGUGCCAUGCCAGUUAGACGCAUUUGUGUUUGACAUUGGGGCAGAGCGGGAUGGGAAGCAGAGAAGUGGCGUCGCCUGGGAAUGGAGCCACGAAGGGGAGCCGAGCCGCCUGACAGGGACGCAGCGGAGGAAGGCCGCGCCAGCGCCGGAGCAGGGCUAAACCGCCUGGGAGGGGCGCGCCGCCCGGAAUAAUUAUUAUCUCUACCCGGCCUAACCUUUGCCGACGGCCAGUACUUCACUGAUCACUCACUCAUGGCUCAUUGGCUUGUUUUCUCCGGGCCCUGCUCCACCCAACACAUGCUCUUCCCAGCCUCACAUAUUCACGAACACCUUAAGGACAUAAGAACACCUGGGAGGGGGAUGCUAGACGGAGCGGGGAAGGAAAGCCGCUGCGCCGGCGGGAAGGAACGACGAACCUACACCAACAGAGGCUGCAAACGCGAAAAGACGGGUGACGGAGGAGGAACUGUAGCACGCGGCAGCCAUGCAUGGAACCAGGGGGCAGCAACAGCGCAUGCCGCUCCCUCUCCCAACAGCCAUGGUUCGUGGCUGCGGUGGAGCUCGUUCACCAAAAAUAAAAAUAGUAAGGAAUCUAAGGACCGAAUGGCAAAAUGCAGCGCUGACGUGGCAUGGGGACUGUACAAAUACGGGAGGGCGAUCGUACGUGGGACAAGUUCAGUGAUCAUGAGCGCAUUUUACUCUUUCUAAAACAUCUUUGAACCCUGGACUAAAAUAUUUGUGAAUUUUGACUACGACACUUUUGAAAUUCAACUAAAAUAUUUACGAAACUUGAUUGGAACUUCAUAAAUAUUCCAUACAAAUUUAAUAAAAAUUUAGUUGAGUUUCAUAAAUCGGAUGGUGACACAUUGGUUAUAAUUUUGAAGAAGUGGUGUAUGAUAUCUGUACCAUCAUCACCAACUGUAAUUUAAUAGAUAGUAAGAGCAACUCUAGCUGUUACCGAAAACUAUCGAUCCGAACUGGCCAACAAUUUUCAGUUUCGAAGAACGAUGCGCAGAACCGAAUCCGAAUUCAACAUCAAACUUUUGAAAAAACACAUUCGCGCGUGAAUAAAAACAGACAUACAUAGGAAAAUCAACCGAGUAGUUCAACAACGUUGCAUACAGUAGAAUAUUUAAAAACAAACAUACAUUGAUUAUAUAUAUAUAUACUACGUCGUCGUCGCUGUCUAGCCGCCGGUGUGGAACUACUAGUCAAUUUUGCUGCGCUAGAUUGCCUCAGCGAGAUCCGCCUGGAACUCAGCCCCCCCUCCUAGCAGCCUCUGUCGCCGCCGACCGCUCGGAGUCGAGCCACACCGCUUAGUAAGUGCCGACCUCCUCCUCCCGGGCGCGCCGGUCGGGUGGGCCGGCCCAAGUGCCCGACGCUAGGGUGGCCUCAUCCGCAAGGUAGCGCUGGUACUUGCGCUCUGCAUCGGCGCUGAGGUGCCGGUGUAGCAAGUACUUGCGCGCGUUGCGCCGCCAAGCCACGAUUCGGUGGUGGCGUGACGCCUCGUCGUCGUCCCCGCCUCCACCUCGACCGCCGCUAGCUAGGGUUUGCUCGGCUCUGCGGGGAAGCGGCACGGCGGCCGGAAAGCACCAUCUCAGCGAUGGAAGGGGUUGCGGCGGGUGGGUUGCGGCUGCGGAAGGGUCGGCGACGGGUGGGUUGCAGGGGCGGAAGGGGCCGGGUGGUGGCGAGUUCGGAGUUGGAUCCGAACCCACCACUCGGAGCGAUACAUAUAUGUUGGAUUUUGGGCCGAUUUGGGAAACCGAAUUAGGUUUUCGAUAAACGGUCCGUUUUCUGUCCCAAUUUUCGGUCCAAAACCGAAAAACGAGUUUGGAUCGGUUGUUUUCGGUAACUGCUAGAGUUGCUCUAAAGAUAUACAACUAGCUGUCCGCAUGUAUUUGGCUAGAUGAUGGCAUGUACCGGAGCAGGUUGAGAAACUUUUGGUGAGCAUGUUCCCGUGAAAAAAGAAAAUUUUGGCGAGCAUGUUCACCUGCCCCCGUGCACAUUCUUCGAGCGUGUUGCAUGGCACAUGCCGGAGAUACCGAUUGUCCCCCAUGUACAUGCAUCGGUCCGAUAAAUAUUGCGAGAAAAAACCUGGAUCGGUUCGUCGACUUUAACCAUUGCUACUACAAAUUAGCGUUGAUGCCUCAGACAGCAAAAACGACAAAAACGGCAGGCGUCCGCUGAUUGGGACUGACUUUUAGGAGCACGACGCCACCACUCCACGAGCACGGCGCAUGACCGUGGCUUAGCCGAGAUCUGGAACGGUGGCCCAACUGAUAUAAGAAAUCAGUUUUGCCACAAAUACCUUGUAAUGCGGAGGAGUAACAUGCAUGCUAAAUAUACUAUGUUUGCCGCACAACACCAGGCGACUUGCCUGCCUCCGUCAAGCACACCGCCGGCCACCUAUGCGCUGCGCGCGCUGCUGAACUCUCCGCUCGAUAGGGUUUGAGAAUUGGAAACAAGUGUACUUGUGUUCGCUUCAGAAAAUGAUGAGAUGAAGGUCGACGAAAAAUAAGAACCAUACAACGUACGAAAUGUGCGAAUAAGUCAGUAUGUGAGGUGGUCUAGAUUCUAGAGACUCAAGAAGAUACCAAUAAUCUUAACACGGAACAACCGGGGUUGGCUGUGGGUUAUAUUUCUUUGUAUUUUUGGGCUGAAACAUGUAUGGGUAUAUGGGUUCAUGGCAAAAUUUCAGGGUGGUCCAGCUUGGUAUAUGGGUAUACGCAGAACCAAGAGAUAUGAAGGACCAAGGCUUCAAAUUACUGAUAUCCGGUUAGGGGAAAGACGUCGCUCGAUUCACAAGGAUCAUGCGUUUUUACCUUGAAGACAUAGACCAAGAUAGGAGCGAAAUGCGCCAUCAAACUCUCAGAAUGCCUUUCUAGGCCUCUCAACUAAUUGGAAAUACGACCCCUCUAUGGUCAUAUACAGCAGAGAUAUACGCAAGGUUGACAUGACAAGUACCUGACUAGUGGGGCCCACUUUUUUACAUGUUGGGGAUGACCAUUUACUCCAGCUCCUUCUCUCUCGCUUAGAUGUUCUCCACACCGUCCUCUAGUGACCGGAAUGGGAGGGCGCCCAAAAGCAUGUUCCUUGAGAGGUUGAGUCGACAGACAAGGGCGACCCGACCCCCAAACUCCCCCCUCCCUGGGCUGUGAAACAUCACGCAAAUGAGCUCAUUAAGACCAUGUCAUCUUUCUCACCUUGAAAGAAAGAGUGCCCUCUGGAGUUGUUGGAGAGGUUGGGUUCGGUAGAUCUUGAGGCUGCUCAAGUCGGCGACGAUGCACAUCGGAAUACCGUCGCACAAGCCAUUGCAAGAGAUGUUGAGGAUUCCGAAGUUCUAGCAGUCGCCAAGGCUUGAGAUAUGGCGUCAGCGAGGCGAUCGUGGUAGAUCAUAUAUACCUGCAUGUGAUUGGUGAGGUUGGGGAACAUAGAAGGGAUGGCGCUGACAAAAGGCGGUUACCAAGGAGGGUCAAGGAGGCCGAGGCCCAUGAGCUCCUUGAUGGACUCAGGGAUCUCUCCGAAUAGGAGGUUGUUCAAGAGGUACGACUGCUCGAGCCGCCAGAGCCGCGAUAUCUCUAGCGGGAUGGAGUCAUUAACCGAAGUGGUUGAGGGCUGCGCGCAAUAAGAAUUAGUGACAGGCUCAGGGCACUAGGUUCCAACUACACCAGAGUCUAUGCCAGAAUUUCUAACAGGCAGGCCACUAGGAAUUUGGAAGGUACCAAUCUUUCUGUUUUCAAUUCUUUUGUUGUUCUUGAUGAUGAUCAAAUGCUUGGUAGAGCUUUAGAAAUAGGCAUUGAUAUAGAUAAUAUGGCUCUAGACAAUAUACAUUUGCUGCAAGACCUAGAGGUUGCUAGGCAUAAUUUGGGGGAAAAAGUUGAAGGAGAACCAGAGGGGAUUCCUGGUGUGGUCAUGCCCCAUUAAAAGACCGAUUCCCCAGGCUUUUUGAAAUUUCCAAUGAUGUAGAUUGCUCUAUUGUUGACAUUGCAGCCAAGCGCUGGCACCUUACUUUUAGGAGGUGGCUGGAUGAAAAUUGCCAGUAUGAUUACACCAAGCUAAAUUCUAAACUAAUGGGCAUGAGUGUGAAUGAGGAAGUUGACAGGCCUUUAUGGAAGUGGUCUAAAACUGGAAAAUACAAAAGUCAAAUCCAUGUAUAAUAUGUUGACCAGUCAUGGCCCAAAUAGAUCCUUCUACCAUUUGUGUAAAGCCAAAAUCCCCUUACAAAUUAAAAUUUGGUUGUGAUUAAUUUGGCACAAUGCUAUUGCCACCAAGGACAAUAUGGUUCGAAGGAACUGACAAGAGGACAUUUCCUGUCGCUUUUGUUCUGAAAAUGAAACUAUACAUCAUCUGUUCUUCACUUGUGCUGCUGCUAGAUACACUUGGGGGAUUGUGGGGGUUGCCAUUGGGGCUGGAACUAGACCAUCUUGUUUUUCUCAGUAUUUUCUUUGGAUCACACAACAUAUCAGAAUUAGUUGCAAUUUGCAAAUUGUUGGCCUUGCUGGGCAAUCUGGAAAUUGAGAAAUUGAGCUUGUUUUGAGCACCGUUUGAUUAGAUCGCCUGCAGAGUUGAUUUGCUAUGCAUGUGACUUUUUAAAAUACUGGGCAGGGCUUCAGACUGG
rnacentral:lncRNA from 1 species